GCAGCCCUCUAGCUCAGUGGCUAGAGCGUUGGUCUCGUAAACCAAAGGUCGCAAGUUCGAAUUUUGUUGGUGGCA
rnacentral:tRNA from 1 species